AAAAAAUAUUGAAGUAAGAAUGUCAAAGGUCAUUAAUAUUUAGGACAAAGAGAUUAAAAUAGCUGUUAAAUAUUUAUUAAACUCAUUGAGCUAUCAAAUCCAGUUCUCAUUGAUUUAGUAAGAAGAAAAGUUAAAUUAAAUCAGCCAUAUGUUGGAAUAUUUUUGAAGAAAAGUGAAGAAAAUUAAUUAGAUGUUGUUGAAAAUAUAGAUGAUGUUUAUCCAAUUGGUACAUUUGGACAGAUCCAUGAAAUUCAUGAUCUUGGUGAUAAAUUAAGACUCGUUGUUAUGGCACAUUGAAGAAUUAAAAUUGUCAAUUAAAUACCAGAAGAAUUAUCACCAAAACCAGCACAACGUGAGAAAAUGAAAUUGACGUUUCCACUACUAAAUACAACAAUUUACGUUCCUGUAGACGAGGCUGGUCAAUCACGUCGAGGUGGACGUUCAAGUCGUAGAAAAGCUGAAUUAAAUGAAAUUAUAGA